rnacentral:rRNA from 1 species
GACGAACGCUGGCGGCGUGCUUAACACAUGCAAGUCGAGCGGUAAGGCCCUUUCGGGGGUACACGAGCGGCGAACGGGUGAGUAACACGUGGGUGACCUGCCCUCAGCUCUGGGAUAAGCCUGGGAAACCGGGUCUAAUACCGGAUAUGACUCCAUGACGCAUGUUGUGGGGUGGAAAGCCUUGUGCGGCUGAGGAUGGGCCCGCGGCCUAUCAGCUCGUUGGUGGGGUGAUGGCCUACCAAGGCGACGACGGGUAGCCGGCCUGAGAGGGCGACCGGCCACACUGGGACUGAGACACGGCCCAGACUCCUACGGGAGGCAGCAGUGGGGAAUCUUGCGCAAUGGGCGAAAGCCUGACGCAGCGACGCCGCGUGAGGGAUGACGGCCUGGUGUAAC